CUAGGUCACACUACUGUGAUAAUUUACUGCUGGACGCUGUGAUACUUCCAUCUCGUGGUUAUCAGGGUCUUUAAUCUGCAUCAGGGGAGUUUGUUAGGACUUGUGAAAUAUCAUACAUCUGUGGCUGUGGCUCUGACCCACUCACACACACACACACACACACACACACACAAUAUUGCUGCUUUCAUGCAUACACGCAUUGGUCCAGGUCAAUCUGGUAUC
rnacentral:lncRNA from 1 species